GAUGAACGCUGGCGGCGUGCCUAAUACAUGCAAGUCGAGCGAACAGAUAAGGAGCUUGCUCCUUUGACGUUAGCGGCGGACGGGUGAGUAACACGUGGGUAACCUACCUAUAAGACUGGAAUAACUCCGGGAAACCGGGGCUAAUGCAGGAUAACAUGUUGAACCGCAUGGUUCUACAGUGAAAGGCGGCUUUGCUGUCACUUAUAGAUGGACCCGCGCCGUAUUAGCUAGUUGGUGAGGUAACGGCUCACCAAGGCAACGAUACGUAGCCGACCUGAGAGGGUGAUCGGCCACACUGGAACUGAGACACGGUCCAGACUCCUACGGGAGGCAGCAGUAGGGAAUCUUCCGCAAUGGGCGAAAGCCUGACGGAGCAACGCCGCGUGAGUGAUGAAGGUCUUCGGAUCGUAAAACUCUGUUAUUAGGGAAGAACAAAUGCGUAAGUAACUGUGCGCGUUUUGACGGUACCUAAUCAGAAAGCCACGGCUAACUACGUG
rnacentral:rRNA from 1 species